rnacentral:rRNA from 1 species
AAAGAGGAUUCGUCCAAUUGAAGCAGAGGACAGUGGCGGACGGGUGAGUAACGCGUGAGGAACCUGCCUUUCAGAGGGGGACAACAGUUGGAAACGACUGCUAAUACCGCAUAACGCGUAGAGGUCGCAUGGCCUUUACGCCAAAGAUUUAUCGCUUCAAGAUGGCCUCGCGUCUGAUUAGCUGGUUGGCGGGGUAACGGCCCACCAAGGCGACGAUCAGUAGCCGGACUGAGAGGUUGAACGGCCACAUUGGGACUGAGAUACGGCCCAGACUCC